UAAUACAGAGGGUGCAAGCGUUAAUCGGAAUUACUGGGCGUAAAGGGAGCGUAGGUGGCUCUAUAAGUCAGAUGUGAAAUCCCCGGGCUUAACCUGGGAACUGCAUCUGAAACUGUAGAGCUAGAGUAUGUGAGAGGAAGGUAGAAUUCCAGGUGUAGCGGUGAAAUGCGUAGAGAUCUGGAGGAAUACCGAUGGCGAAGGCAGCCUUCUGGCAUAAUACUGACACUGAGGCUCGAAAGCGUGGGUAGCAAACAGGAUUAGAUACCCUGGUAGUCCACGCCGUAAACGAUGUCUACUAGUCGUUGGGUCCCUUGAGGACUUAGUGACGCAGCUAACGCAAUAAGUAGACCGCCUGGGGAGUACGGCCGCAAGGUUAAAACUCAAAUGAAUUGACGG
rnacentral:rRNA from 1 species